rnacentral:tRNA from 1 species
GGAUAUAGCUCAGUGGUAGAGUGCCUGCUUAGCAUGCUUGAGGUCCUGAGUUCAAUCCCUAGUACCUCCA